AUCGCUUCUUGGCCUUUGGGCUAAGAUGAAGUGUAGUAUCUGUUCUUAUCAGUGAAUCCAGUAGCAUUCACUGAGACGUUUGGCUCCGAUAUGACGUCUUACGGUCAAACUUCUAUUUGCUACAGCAAUUUUCCUACUCAAA
ensembl:snRNA U2 U2 spliceosomal RNA